UACGUAGGGGGCAAGCGUUGUCCGGAUUUAUUGGGCGUAAAGAGCGUGUAGGCGGCCAUACAGGUCAGCUGUGAAAACUCGAGGCUCAACCUCGAGACGUCGGUUGAAACCGUAUGGCUAGAGUCCGGAAGAGGAGAGUGGAAUUCCCGGUGUAGCGGUGAAAUGCGCAGAUAUCGAGAAGAACACCCGUGGCGAAGGCGGCUCUCUGGGACGGUACUGACGCUGAGAUGCGAAAGCGUGGGGAGCGAACAGG
rnacentral:rRNA from 1 species